CAUGUCUUUUUGAUGAUAAUUUAAAGUCUGACCUGCCCUAUGAAGUUAAAUUUAAAUGGCUGCGAUAUCCUGAUCGUACAAAGGUAGCAUAAUAAUUAGUUUCUUAAUUAGGAACUGGUAUGAAGGGUCAUACGAGAAAAAGACUGUCUCAGUUUAAUUUUAAUUAAAAUUUUAUUUUUAAGUAAGAAAGCUUAAAUGAAUUUAAAAGACGAGAAGACCCUAUAGAGUUUUAUAUAUAUUAUUUAAAUUAAAAAAUUUAAGUAUUUUUUUUUUAACUUAAAUAAUAUAUAUUUGGUUGGGGUGAUUGGGAAAUUAAAUGAACUUUCUUUAUUAAGUGAUUCCAUUAAUUUAUGAAUAAUUGAUCCAUUUUUAUAUGAUUAUAAGAUUAAAUUACCUUAGGGAUAACAGCGUAAUUUUUUUUGAGAGUUCUUAUCGAAAGAAAAGUUUGCGACC
rnacentral:rRNA from 1 species